rnacentral:rRNA from 1 species
UACAGAGGGUGCGAACGUUGCUCGGAAUCACUGGGCGUAAAGCGCGUGUAGGCGGGUAAUCAAGUCAGGUGUGAAAUCCCUGGGCUCAACCCAGGAACUGCAUCUGAAACUGGUUGCCUUGAGUGUUGGAGAGGGAAGCGGAAUUCCUGGUGUAGAGGUGAAAUUCGUAGAUAUCAGGAGGAACACCGGUGGCGAAGGCGGCUUCCUGGACAAUUACUGACGCUGAGACGCGAAAGCGUGGGGAGCAAACAGG